ACGCUCGACACCUACGGGAGGCAGCAGUCGGGAAUAUUGCGCAAUGGAGGAAACUCUGACGCAGUGACGCCGCGUGCAGGAAGAAGGUUUUCGGAUUGUAAACUGCUUUAGACAGGGAAGAAAAGAAAUGACAGUACCUGUAGAAUAAGCUCCGGCUAACUACGUGCAAGCAGCCGCGGUAAUCUGAGCGGGCUGGCAAGGC
rnacentral:rRNA from 1 species